AAUAUUGGACAAUGGGCGCAAGCCUGAUCCAGCAACGCCGCGUGGAGGACGAAGGUCUUCGGAUCGUAAACUCCUGUCAGGCGGGACGAAGGUUUCCGGGCAAAUAGUCCGGGAGCUUGACGGUACUGCCAGAGGAAGCCACGGCUAACUACGUGCCAGCAGCCGCGGUAAUACGUAGGUGGCAAGCGUUGUCCGGAUUUAUUGGGUUUAAAGGGUGCGUAGGCGGUUCUAUAAGUCAGUGGUGAAAUACGGCAGCUCAACUGUCGAGGUGCCAUUGAUACUGUAGGGCUAGAGUACUGUUGAGGUAGGCGGAAUGGACGGUGUAGCGGUGAAAUGCUUAGAUAUCGUCCGGAACACCGAUAGCGAAGGCAGCUUACUAAAGAGUAACUGACGCUGAGGCACGAAAGUGUGGGGAUCAAAC
rnacentral:rRNA from 1 species